rnacentral:rRNA from 1 species
AACNUCUUUCAGUNGGGAAGAAGCGAAAGUGACGGUACCUGCAGAAGAAGCACCGGCUAACUACGUGCCAGCAGCCGCGGUAAUACGUAGGGUGCGAGCGUUAUCCGGAAUUAUUGGGCGUAAAGAGCUCGUAGGCGGUUUGUCGCGUCUGUCGUGAAAGUCCGGGGCUUAACCCCGGAUCUGCGGUGGGUACGGGCAGACUAGAGUGCAGUAGGGGAGACUGGAAUUCCUGGUGUAGCGGUGGAAUGCGCAGAUAUCAGGAGGAACACCGAUGGCGAAGGCAGGUCUCUGGGCUGUAACUGACGCUGAGGAGCGAAAGCAUGGGGAGCGAACAGGAUUAGAUACCCUGGUAGUCCAUGCCGUAAACGUUGGGCACUAGGUGUGGGGACCAUUCCACGGUUUCCGCGCCGCAGCUAACGCAUUAAGUGCCCCGCCUGGGGAGUACGGCCGCAAGGCUAAAACUCAAAGGAAUUGACGGGGGCCCGCACAAGCGGCGGAGCAUGCGGAUUAAUUCGAUGCAACGCGAAGAACCUUACCAAGGCUUGACAUGUUCCCGAUCGCCGUAGAGAUACGAUUUCCCCUUUGGGGCGGGUUCACAGGUGGUGCAUGGUUGUCGUCAGCUCGUGUCGUGAGAUGUUGGGUUAAGUCCCGCAACGAGCGCAACCCUCGUUCCAUGUUGCCAGCACGUAAUGGUGGGGACUCAUGGGAGACUGCCGGGGUCAACUCGGAGGAAGGUGAGGACGACGUCAAAUCAUCAUGCCCCUUAUGUCUUGGGCUUCACGCAUGCUACAAUGGCCGGUACAAUGGGUUGCGAUACUGUGAGGUGGAGCUAAUCCCAAAAAGCCGGCCUCAGUUCGGAUUGGGGUCUGCAACUCGACCCCAUGAAGUCGGAGUCGCUAGUAAUCGCAGAUCAGCAACGCUGCGGUGAAUACGUUCCC